AUUGAACGCUGGCGGCACGCUUUACACAUGCAAGUCGAACGGUAACAGGCCGCAAGGUGCUGACGAGUGGCGAACGGGUGAGUAAUGCAUCGGAACGUGCCCAGUCGUGGGGGAUAACGCAGCGAAAGCUGCGCUAAUACCGCAUACGAUCUAUGGAUGAAAGCGGGGGACCGUAAGGCCUCGCGCGAUUGGAGCGGCCGAUGUCAGAUUAGGUAGUUGGUGGGGUAAAGGCUCACCAAGCCAACGAUCUGUAGCUGGUCUGAGAGGACGACCAGCCACACUGGGACUGAGACACGGCCCAGACUCCUACGGGAGGCAGCAGUGGGGAAUUUUGGACAAUGGGCGCAAGCCUGAUCCAGCAAUGUCGCGUGCAGGAAGAAGGCCUUCGGGUUGUAAACUGCUUUUGUACGGAACGAAACGGCUCUGGUUAAUACCUGGGGCUAAUGACGGUACCGUAAGAAUAAGCACCGGCUAACUACGUGCCAGCCGCCGCCGUAACAC
rnacentral:rRNA from 1 species